rnacentral:rRNA from 1 species
UACGUAGGGUCCGAGCGUUGUCCGGAUUUAUUGGGCGUAAAGAGCUCGUAGGCGGUUCCGUAAGUCAGAUGUGAAAACUCAGGGCUCAACCCGGAGACGCCAUCUGAUACUGCGGUGACUGGAGUCUGGUAGGGGAACACGGAAUUCCUGGUGUAGCGGUGAAAUGCACAGAUAUCAGGAGGAACACCGAUGGCGAAGGCAGUGUUCUGGGCCAGUACUGACGCUGAGGAGCGAAAGCGUGGGGAGCAAACAGG